rnacentral:other from 1 species
AGGUUCCUGCUCGGUGCGUGAUGAGUCCUUUUAAACCCACAUUUAUGAAACGGGAUGCCCCCUCACGGCGUGGUUUGCAGGCCUCCCGACCCCCUUUGAGGUCAGUCGGACGUUGGAAGCAGAAAAGCGCAGUGGAGGCGACCCACCUGCCGAUCGUGCAGGUUUUAAUCGGAUUCACACGGCCAGAGCGGGGCAGAU